UACGUAGGGAGCAAGCGUUGUCCGGAAUCAUUGGGCGUAAAGCGCGUGUAGGCGGCCCGGUAAGUCCGCUGUGAAAGUCGGGGGCUCAACCCUCGAAAGCCGGUGGAUACUGUCGGGCUCGAGUGCGGAAGAGGCGAGUGGAAUUCCUGGUGUAGCGGUGAAAUGCGCAGAUAUCAGGAGGAACACCGAUUGCGAAGGCAGCUCGCUGGGACGUUACUGACGCUGAGACGCGAAAGCGUGGGGAGCAAACAGG
rnacentral:rRNA from 1 species